rnacentral:rRNA from 1 species
AUUAACGCUUGCGGCGUGCCUAAUACAUGCAAGUCGAGCGAACAGACGAGGAGCUUGCUCCUCUGACGUUAGCGGCGGACGGGUGAGUAACACGUUGAUAACCUACCUAUAAGACUGGGAUAACUUCGGGAAACCGGAGCUAAUACCGGAUAAUAUAUUUAACCGCAUGGUUCAAUAGUGAAAGACGGUUUUGCUUUCACUUAUAGAUGGAUCCGCGCCGCAUUAGCUAGUUGGUAAGGUAACGGCUUACCAAGGCGACGAUGCGUAGCCGACCUGAGAGGGUGAUCGGCCACACUGGAACUGAGGCACGGUCCAGACUCCUACGGGAGGCAGCAGUAGGGAAUCUUCCGCAAUGGGCGAAAGCCUGACGGAGCAACGCCGCGUGAGUGAUGAAGGUCUUCGGAUCGUAAAACUCUGUUAUUAGGGAAGAACAAAUGUGUAAGUAACUAUGCACGUCUUGACGGUACCUAAUCAGAAAGCCACGGCUAACUACGUG